AUGGAAUCCUCAGAAGUUGAAAUUACUGAUGUAGAAGAACCAGCAAAUACUAUAGAGACUGAACUUUCUGAAUCAUCAGAUUCUAUGGACUCCUUUAAUGUAAAUCCCGUUAUGUCUGAUGACUUCAACACAGUGUCCCCCCUGCCAAGCAUACCUGCAUCUUCUGAAAUGUACUCGAGGCAGAGCUUUGAAUCAGAACGUGGGAUGGGACAUGUGACUCAUGUGUAUGAGUUGAAGCAUGUACACAAGGUGAGUGUUAUGGAUCAUACAGAAGAGUCAGACAAGGAUGUCCAUGAGAACCAGGAAGAUCAAGAAUAUGAAGAGAACCAUGAGGAAGUCCAAAAGGACUGGAAGGAUCAAGAAAACAAGAAGGACCAGGAAGACGAGGAGGGCCAGAAAGAACAAGAGUAUCAGCCCCUACAGCUGUCACCACACAUCACAUCAUACCUCAAGAGUCAGGAGGAAAUGAUGAAGAAAUUCCAGGAGCAGCUGAAUGAGAAAAUACAACUACUGAACACUGAACUAGAAAAACAGAGGAGCUCCCUGGAAACUUUGAAGGAGCAGCUCCAAGAGAGGAAUAAU
rnacentral:lncRNA from 1 species